rnacentral:rRNA from 1 species
CGUGGGUAACCUGCCCAAGAGAUCGGGAUAACACCUGGAAACAGAUGCUAAUACCGGAUAACAACAGAUGAUGCCUAUCAACUGUUUAAAAGAUGGUUCUGCUAUCACUCUUGGAUGGACCUGCGGUGCAUUAGUUAGUUGGUAGGGUAACGGCCUACCAAGGCGAUGAUGCAUAGCCGAGUUGAGAGACUGAUCGGCCACAUUGGGACUGAGACACGGCCCAAACUCCUACGGGAGGCAGCAGCG